rnacentral:lncRNA from 1 species
AAGGUAAUAACUUUGUUUUCAUAUUCUUCUACAGAUACAUUUCACGAAGUGUAAAAGAAACGUGAUAGAAGAAAAGAGAUAAUGCUACUUGUGAUUUAAUACCACAUGUACUAUAGCUUUACUCAUAAAUGCUCCUAUAUCAUUUAAUUUUAAGUUCAUGAUUACAUCUAAGAGAUUUGUGAUGCAUUUGAAGAUUUUUAGACAUAAGAAUUGUACCAGGUUGCAAGUUUAUGCGAAGUUAAGUGUUAAAGCCCAAAAUAUCUACAUUCCCAUAAGAAACUUGAUAAUCAUAAAAUGGUGAAUAUCAUCAUUUUUAGGACAUUUCAAACCUGCUUAGGUACUUUAAAAAUAUUUCUUUGUUGAUUAAUUUACCUUUCAUGGAGGUAGAGGAAGCCUU